AUUGAACGCUGGCGGCAUGCCUUACACAUGCAAGUCGAACGGCAGCACGGGUGCUUGCACCUGUUGGCGAGUGGCGAACGGGUGAGUAAUACAUCGGCACAUGUCCUGAAGUGGUGGAUAGCCCGGCGAAAGCCGGAUUAAUACCGCAUACGAACUCCGGAUGAAAGCGGGGGCCCUUCGGGCCUCGCCCUAUAGGGUUGGCCGAUGGCUGAUUAGCUAGUUGGUGGGGUAAAGGCCUACCAAGGCGACGAUCAGUAGCUGGUCUGAGAGGACGACCAGCCACACUGGGACUGAGACACGGCCCAGACUCCUACGGGAGGCAGCAGUGGGGAAUUUUGGACAAUGGGCGAAAGCCUGAUCCAGCAAUGCCGCGUGUGUGAAGAAGGCCUUCGGGUUGUAAAGCACUUUUGUCCGGAAAGAAAUACUUGGCCCUAAUACGGUCGGGGGAUGACGGUACCAGAAGAAUAAGCACCGGCUAACUACGUG
rnacentral:rRNA from 1 species